CCUACGGGAGGCAGCAGUGAGGAAUAUUGGUCAAUGGGCGCGAGCCUGAACCAGCCAAGUCGCGUGAGGGAAGACGGCCCUACGGGUUGUAAACCUCUUUUGCCGGGGAGCAACGGGCGCCACGUGUGGCGCCACUGAGAGUACCCGGAGAAAAAGCAGCGGCUAACUCCGUGCCAGCAGCCGCGGUAAUACGGAGGAUGCGAGCGUUAUCCGGAUUUAUUGGGUUUACAGGGGGCGUAGGCGGAGCGUUAAGUCAGGGGUCAAAUUGAGGGGCUCAACCCCUUCCCGCCAUUGAAACUGGCGCUCUUGAGUGGACGAGAAGUCUGCGGACUGCGUGGUGUAGCGGU
rnacentral:rRNA from 1 species